AUCUCAGGUCCAGGCCAAUCAGGGCCUUGUCUUGUGACGUCAGAGGCUCCUCCUGAGCUCAUUGGCUGGAGCUCACCAUGGCAACCUCUCCAGCAUCCUUGGGGAGUCUGGACCACAUCAUGGAGGCUCUGCUCAGCAUCCCUGGAAAGUGGCUGGAUUGGAUGGCAGCACUGGGGGCAUCGCAGGGCCUCCCUCGCCUGGGCUCCUCAGGAGGGAGAGACCCUCCCCUUUAAGGCAGAAUUAAGGGGGGGAGAGAUGAGUGAAAUGGGGUUCAACCAAACACGACAGACGUGCUGAUACCUGCCGUGUCUGCAGCCUCCAUACCUGUCACCAAACUCCUCAUCCACCAUCUCGAAGCUCAAGGCAGUGAACCUAUCUAAGAUUCCUUCAUUCCCACAAGACCAACCUUGUGAAGGCUGAGAGAGGGACUGGCUCCAGGUCACCCAUCUGGCUUUCGUGGCUGAGAUAUGGGACUCGUUAAGAUGACAAUGAAAAGGAAGCAGUCAAUAGAAGCCUACAGCUGAAAGGGACCUUGUGAGCAACAAGGAAGAAAUGGUCAAUAUCCUUGGGAGAUCUCUCAGUGACCACUGAUGGUCCCAACCUCCAAGUUGAUGAACUGAGAGACUCCUUUGACUUUCAGUCCCAGAAAUUCCAGAAAGAAAAUCAAUAGAUUAAAGAUCAGCACAGCUGUCUCCAGGAGAAAGUGGAUCAACUUAAGACCACAACAGAAGACCUGCAGAAAACCUGCAGAAGAUCAUGCCAUCAGUUAGAGCUAGAGAAGAAAUCUUUGGUGAAAUACAUUCAAGAACUCCACAAAGAACUGCAUGAGGUCACUACCCAGCUGUCCAUCUCAAUGAAGAGAAAGCUGACUCUGAGAAAGACCUCAAAGAGGUGAGGAACCUUCUGCCAGAGGUUAAGAAGCAGCUCCAGAGUCUACAGAAUGAACUGGCUGAGAUGGACCACAAUUACCAUGUGGAGAAAAGCCAUUAUAGCCAACUGAGAAAGUCGGACUAUGAGAGAAAACAAGCAGAAGCACCUCAAAAGUCUGCAGCAGCCACAUCUGACCUCCCAGAUCUGGCUCUGGCCAGAGUCACCUGGCACACUAGGUAGCAAACCUCCCCCCCCACAUCUUCUCCCAGGUAUAUCAGAUGGGAAACAUGAUGUAACUCUACUUUAUUUGAAGGGCACAUAAGAGAAUCUUGCAUGUCUGAAAGUACAAAUCUCCCACCAACGCUUUUGGAGGCCUGAAAAGUGAGGGAGGGUCCUUUCUGAGGUUCUUUCUCUGCCAAUUAUGCACCUGGGGGCUCCCCUCCCCCCUUACCUGAUUAUUCCCUGUGCAGCAUCUUCUCCAUCUAUUCGUCUAUAUUGUCAUUAAUACAGGCGGGAUAGUUGAAGAAAUAGGAUUUUUUCAGGAUGCAACCUUUAUAUCAACUCUCAGACAAAGCUACUUUGAUGUUGUUUUAAAAAUACCACCCAGUUUUUAGAACAAUAUCUAUGAAUUCCUAAUAGAGUGCAUAAGUAAAAUCCAGUAGAAAAAUAUAUAAUUUUUAGCAGGAGGACUUAACAAGCUCUCCUAUUUUAUAUAAGAACAAACGAAUGGCAGCUACAAUGUGAAUCUUUCAUUAAGAUUUCAUUUGUACUUUU